AACGUAGGAGGCAAGCGUUAUCCGGAUUUACUGGGCGUAAAGCGCACGCAGGCGGCUGCGUAAGUCGGACGUGAAAGCUCCUGGCUCAACUGGGAGAGGUCGUUCGAAACUGCGCGGCUUGAGGUUGGAAGAGGAGAGCGGAAUUCCCGGUGUAGUGGUGGAAUGCGUAGAUAUCGGGAGGAACACCAGUGGCGAAAGCGGCUCUCUGGUCCACACCUGACGCUCAGGUGCGAAAGCGUGGGUAGCGAACGGG
rnacentral:rRNA from 1 species